UUUCUACUUUUCCUAAAGAAAGCUGAUCCAGACAAAAUUAAAAUGCCCAUGAAGUGGGGAUGCUGUGCAGUUUGCACCUGAGGGGUGCUGAGGACACCGGGUGCCAUUCCUGCUCACAGCUCUGCGAUGCACAUGGCCACAGCAAGCUGCAAACAAGGAUGA